GGUGUCAAAAACCCUUCUCUCGAGUCUCGAGUUUAUCUCCACAGUAGCCAGGCUGCCGUGCGAAAGGAUAGAGGCCGACGAGCCUGGAAGACAAGGAAGGGGGAGUCCAUCCGCCAUGGCCGCCUCGUUUCACUUGUUAAGCAGCAACACAUUCACCAUCCCGUCAUCGGUAGCGCGUCGGGGAUUCGAUGCGGAUCGCAAACUCUUCCACAAGUUUCCAAAUAGGGAUCCCUUUUCCCUCCCCAUUCUCUCCCCAGCCGGCGUUCCUAAACCGCUUCAUAGGGAGACGACAACCUGGAGGGCCUCCCUCGUUGACGACGCUGGAAAUGGAGCCAUGGAAGCCCCCAAACCCACUCGCAGAGGCCGGAAGAAGAAAUCCGCCGAUUCCUCUCCUGCCACUCCCGUCAAGAGGACAAGGCGCCGGUCCCAGAAAAAAACCCCGGAAGAUGAAGCAGCGGCAGAAGGGCCCCGGAUGCCGGAAGAAGCGAAGGCGCCAACGGUAGCAGCGCCAGUAGAAGAAGAGGAGGAAGAGGACUUUGACGAUGGGAUGGACUUCCCCUACGAGUCCCCACCCCUGGUGUGCUGCUUCGGCGCGGCGCGGAGGGAGUUCGUGCCGACCGUCCGCGUCUCCGAGCGCCAGAUGCACCCGGACCAGUACUCCUCCUGGAAGCAGCUCCAGUGGAGCCCGCCUGAGUUCGUCAGGGCCCCCGGCGGCCCCCCCUCCAACGUCGCCAUCUCCCACGCCCGCCUCGGCGGCCGUGCCGCCUUCAUGGGGAAGGUCGGCGACGACGACUUCGGCAACGACCUGGUCUACCGCAUGAACUUGGAGAAGGUUCAGACUCGGGCCGUCAAGAUCGAUCCGGCGGUCAGAACUGCAGCCUCCCACAUGAAGAUAGAACUCGAGGACAGGGAUGACGGCAGUGGGAAGAGACUGGUCGCCAAGACCGUCAAACAUUGCGCUGAGGAUUCCUUCUUGAAGUCUGAGAUUGAUGUUGCGGUCCUGAAGGAGGCUAGGAUCUUUCAUUUCAACUCAGAAGUCCUCCUGUCUCCAGCAAUGCAGCCGGCACUAUUUUGGGCCAUCAAAUUAUCCAAGAAGUACAACAGCAAUGUGUUCUUCGAUCUGAAUCUACCCUUGUCUCUAUGGAGAUCACGAGAUGAGACUCGAGAAGUGAUCAAUAAAGCAUGGAGCAAUUCUGACCUUAUUGAGGUUUCCAGACAGGAGAUGGAAUUCCUUCUGGAUGAAGAGUACUAUGAGAGAAAGCGGAACUACCGGCCCCAGUACUACUCUGAAUCUUAUGAACAAACCAAAAACCGAAGGGACUAUCACCAUUAUACUCGCAAAGAAAUAGCACCUCUGUGGCAUGAUGGGCUAAAGAUCUUAUUCGUAACGGAUGGGACACUUCGGAUCCAUUAUUACACCCCCAAGUUUGAUGGGGCAGUCGUUGGCACAGAGGAUGUCCUCAUUACUCCGUUCACAUGCGAUCGGACUGGCUCCGGUGAUGCUGUAGUGGCCGCGAUCAUGAGGAAGCUAACAAUACAUCCAGAGAUGUAUGAGGAUCAGGACAUGUUAGAAAGGCAUCUCCGGUUUGCUGUUGCUGCAGGAAUCAUUUCACAAUGGACAAUUGGUGCUGUGAGAGGGUUUCCAACUGAGAGUGCAACUCAAAAUUUGAAAGAGCAAGUCUAUGUUCCAUCGAUGUGGUAAACCUUAGAUUCUGUAUGUGACAGCAAAAUUAGAGUGUAUGAUUGCCUGUGAAGUUGUGGGACGGCAGCUGUGGCAAAUAGGUGCUAGAAUAUUCCUGGAAGGAAUAUUGUAUCAGCCAAUAAAUCAUAAGUGAGAGGAUCAGGGGUCUUGCUUGUGCUUCUCUUGCGGAAUCUGUCCUUUCCACAACAUAAUCUCAGAUCGAGAAGACAUGUUAUGGUUGGAUAAUCAUACGAUUCAAAAGUAUUGACUAUUUGCCUGAAGAAGAAUCAAAGAAUUGAAUACAAACAAAGAAAGACAACUGCAAAAUGGAUCAAAGGAAAAUGUCAGAUGAUCCUAUCUAUCAAGGGUUGAUAUACAUGGUGGUUGUCCCUGCCAAAUUAACUUCUCUUGAGCAGAAAUUUUGAUCAGCCAAAUUUUCAACAAAUGAUUUUUUUCUAGGUUAAUAGGUAUUUAUGAAUAGAUACUCGGAUCAUUCUUCAAAUCUCAAAUCUCCUUUAUGUUUAUCCCUGUGCUCCAAGUUCUCUAUCUCAUAAUUGAAAAUGCACCAAAAUUUCUCUCUUAAAUCA